rnacentral:rRNA from 1 species
GUCGCUGUUAGGGAAGGCCUAUAACCCGUCAUCACAACCCCCACUUUACAAGGUUGACCUCGGAUCAGGUAGGGAUACCCGCUGAACUUAAGCAUAUCAAUAAGCGGAGGAAAAGAAACCAACAGGGAUUGCCUCAGUAACGGCGAGUGAAGCGGCAAAAGCUCAAAUUUGAAAGCUGGCUCCUUCGGGGUCCGCGUUGUAAUUUGUAGAGGAUGCUUCGGGCGCGGCUCCGGUCUAAGUUCUCUGGAACGAGACGUCAUAGAGGGUGAGAAUCCCGUAUGUGACCGGCUGCCUGUGCCCAUGUGAAGCUCCUUCGACGAGUCGAGUUGUUUGGGAAUGCAGCUCAAAAUGGGAGGUGUACUCCUUCUAAAGCUAAAUAUUGGCCAGAGACCGAUAGCGCACAAGUAGAGUGAUCGAAAGAUGAAAAGCACUUUGGAAAGAGAGUUAAACAGUACGUGAAAUUGUUGAAAGGGAAGCGCUUGCAAUCAGACUUGCGCGGCGUCGAUCAACCUGGGUUCUCCCUGGUGCACUCGGCGCCGCUCAGGCCAGCAUCAGUUUCGGCGGUGGGAUAAAGGCUGAGGGAACGUGGGUCACCUCGGUGACCGUUAUAGCCCUCGGUGCAAUGCCGCCUGCCGGGACUGAGGACCGC